rnacentral:rRNA from 1 species
UACGGGGGGGGCAAGCGUUGUCCGGAAUCACUGGGCGUAAAGGGCGCGUAGGCGGUCUCUUAAGCGUGUGGUGAAAGCCCGGGGCUCAACUCCGGGUCGGCCGUGCGAACUGGGGGACUGGAGCUUGUCAGAGGCAGGCGGAAUUCCGGGUGUAGCGGUGGAAUGCGUAGAGAUCCGGAAGAACACCGGUGGCGAAGGCGGCCUGCUGGGACAAUGCUGACGCUGAGGCGCGACAGCGUGGGGAGCAAACAGG